GUGCUUGCCCGGGCAGCACAUAUCCUAAAAUUAGUACGGUACAGAGAUCAGCAGAGCCCUGCAUUAGGAAAACACGCACAUUCAUGAAGCGUUCCUUGUUAAA
ensembl:snRNA U6 U6 spliceosomal RNA